CCGGCAACAGCCGACAAGCCCCAGACAGCCUUCUCCAUACCUCUGCUAGAGCUUUUUGUUUGUCUGUCACUGGAGUGUCAGGUUUCUGUUGAGGGUUUUUGCAACACCCUGCGCUGGAAAAAUAACCUCACACUUGCAGAGGUUAACACACUCUACAGAGCCCUGGUGGGAGAAUCCAUAUCCCAUUUUAGGCAUCACCACUUCCGACAAAGAAGUUUGGUAGAUAUUUGCCCACAAUUAGAUGAUGGGACCAUAUGCCCAGCAUGCCCAAAGGCGGAUGGGGAUAUGAUUGUGACAUUGG